rnacentral:rRNA from 1 species
AAUAGAUACCCGGGUAGUCCAUGCCGUAAACGUUGGGCGCUAGAUGUGGGGACCAUUCCCACGGUUUCCGUGUCGCAGCUAACGCAUUAAGCGCCCCGCCUGGGGAGUACGGCCGCAAGGCUAAAACUCAAAGGAAUUGACGGGGGCCCGCACAAGCGGCGGAGCAUGCGGAUUAAUUCGAUGCAACGCGAAGAACCUUACCAAGGCUUGACAUAUACGAGAACGCUGCAGAAAUGUAGAAACUCUUUGGACACUCGUAUACAGGUGGUGCAUGGUUGUCGUCAGCUCGUGUCGUGAGAUGUUGGGUUAAGUCCCGCAACGAGCGCAACCCUCGUUCUAUGUUGCCAGCGGUUCGGCCGGGAACUCAUAGGAGACUGCCGGGGUCAACUCGGAGGAAGGUGGGGAUGACGUCAAAUCAUCAUGCCCCUUAUGUCUUGGGCUUCACGCAUGCUACAAUGGCCGUACAAAGGGCUGCAAUACCGCAAGGUGGAGCGAAUCCCAAAAAGCCGGUCUCAGUUCGGAUUGAGGUCCGC